UCAACAGUUUAAAUUUCCAAUUUAUUUCAACAGUUUCACAUACUCUUUCCAUCAGUUUCUGCAUUAAAAAAAAAAGACCCUCUCUUUUCCUCUCUUUUUCACGUUAAAGGUUCCCCUUUCUCCAACUGUUUCACACACUAUUUCAUCUUCCAAAAAUCCCAAUUCUCCUCUCAAACACAACUCUCAAGAAUAUGAGAAGAUUCAUUCAAGAAAACAAGUUUAAUCCCUUCUCGAGAUCUCAAUUUUUUCAAAUGUUUUGAGGUUCUGGAUCUCAAGUCCACGGUCAGGUGCAUCAUUAGGAUUAUCAUCUUCUACUAUUGGUGCGCCUCCUUUCUACCUGAGGCAAAUUUAGAUAUGACAAUUUCUUUAUGUUCCUUUCAGUAUCAGGAUAUGCCGGGGCCUUUUCCUGACAGUUAUAGUUAGUCUUUUGAGGCUUCACAGACUGGUUUAGUUGUCAGAAAGAUCUUGUAAUUUUUAGGCUUAUUUGUCAUGACUAUUGUGUGUAAGACAUUAUGUGAUAUUAAAUAACAUUGAUGAAAGACUUUCUCCUUUAAUAAAUCUUAUUUUAUAUUGCU